rnacentral:rRNA from 1 species
UACGGAGGGUGCAAGCGUUAUCCGGAUUUACUGGGUUUAAAGGGUGUGUAGGCGGGCCAUUAAGUCAGGGGUGAAAUCCCGGAGCUCAACUCCGGAACUGCCUUUGAUACUGAAGAUCUUGAGUUCGGGAGAGGUGAGUGGAACUGCGAGUGUAGAGGUGAAAUUCGUAGAUAUUGGGAAGAACACCAGUGGCGAAGGCGGCUCACUGGCCCGUAACUGACGCUGAGGUGCGAAAGCGUGGGGAGCAAACAGG